rnacentral:rRNA from 1 species
UACGUAGGGGGCAAGCGUUGUCCGGAAUCAUUGGGCGUAAAGCGCGCGUAGGCGGCUAGAUCAGUCUGCUGUAAAAGUCAAAGGCUCAACCUUUGAAAGCCGGUGGAUACUGUCUAGCUAGAGUCCGGAAGAGGCGAGUGGAAUUCCUGGCGUAGCGGUGGAAUGCGCAGAUAUCAGGAGGAACACCAACGGCGAAAGCAGCUCGCUGGGACGGUACUGACGCUAAGGCGCGAAAGCGUGGGGAGCGAACAGG